rnacentral:rRNA from 1 species
CGUAGUUGGAUUUCUGGUACGGCGCGUUUGGCCGACACCCGUUAGGGUGUUCUGUGCCGUGCGCGCCUGCCAUCUUUCUAGAAAACCUCUCUACCCUUCACUGGGCCGGAUUGGCAGAUCUAGAACUUUUACUUUGAAAAAAUUAGAGUGUUUAAAGCAGGCUUGUGCUAUGAAUACAUUAGCAUGGAAUAAUAAUUUAGGACUUUGGUCCUAUUUUGUUGGUUUCUAGGACCGAAGUAAUGA